GAGAAGGGAGCUCAGUGGAAAACAUCAGUUGUGCCCACGCACCCAACUGUUCCAGUAACAUAAAAGCAACAGCAGUUGGAGAUACUUAAGGCAGCCAUGGUAUUGACAGAAAAAGACUCUGGAUUUGGAUUGCAGCUGUAGCAUUUAUUAAAUGCACGUCACAACCUCUCUGAGCUUCGUUUUCCCCACGUUUCAAAUGGGAUGCAGUGGACCCUGUUGCCUACCCGCAAAGAAUUGGGUCCUGAAAGUAGCAUACUCAAUGGGGACUGUGAGCAUGCAUCACUUAAUCAGUACAUUGGCACUCCACUCCCUCCUGGGCCAGAUUGUAUGUAGGUCAACACCUCCAGUGGCUGAACCUCCAGAAGGGCUAUCACAAAGGUCUGAGAAUCUGUCUCCCUUAAGGCAGCGAGAAGUGGUCACAGACACGGCUUGGCUGCUAGCAUGGCAGAAGGUCUAGUGGGGGCAGCUGGGACUCCACCAGCCCAGAGUGAAGAUAAGAAUACCUAUUUUAAAGUUCUGUUGUGAGGUUCAAGUGCCACAUAUGGGGCCACCAGAAGCUGUUGGCGCCCCUCCCACAUCCCUGUGGUCCACUCAGGAGGUUAACUGCAGUCAGCUGUCAUUCUGCUGGUGGCUUCCUGCGUCUUUCUGCCUGAGCUUGUUCUUUGGCCCUGGAGGAACCCUCCACCAAUGAGAGAUGGGAAUUGUUGGAUAAAAGUCCCAGCUUCCACUCCAAGGCAUGUUCAUGAUCCAUGCAGCCUCUGAGAGGCCUCCCAUGGGCCUGAGCCCCAGUUGCCCACACUGGUAAUACACACAUCUGCUCACUCUCCACUGGCUUUCCUCUCUCCCUUUCUCACUGCUUCACCUUCCCAAUGUGCCUCCUGGACCACGUCCCAAAUAAAUGAUUGCACUCAAAUCCUCGUCUUGGGGUCUGCUAAGGGGAAAUCCAAGUCCAGACAUUGGUAUGACUCAAGUGCUUAAUAAAUAGACCAUGUCACUAUUGUAGUUUCUAGAUACCCAAAAUUCAAAUGUGGGUCUCUCUGCUUAUAUUUUGUAUUUUCUAUGUAAAAAAUUCCCUAAAGCCCUCCAGGAAGGACUCCUCUCCCUGUGGCUCCAUGCCAGUCCUAUGCUCUGCAGCCAUAGGGAGGAUUGCUGUGCCAAUGCUCACAAACCUUGGGGCUGCCAUCCCCAAGACUCCUUGGACUCCAUACAAAGAUUGACCUUAGGAGGAGUGAGUCACAACAACUCCAUGUGAGUAUUGGGAGGCUUUAUAGGUUGAAUUAUGACUUUCCAAAGAGAUUUGUCUUAAACCACAAUUCCUUAAAAUGUGAUCUUAUUAGGCAACAGGGUCUUUGCAAAUGAAAGUUAAGAUGAAGUCAUUAGUGUGGUCCCCAAUUCAACAUGACUGGUGUCCUUAUUAAAAGUGGAGAUUUGGACACAGAAAGACACAAACAAGGAGAACACCAUGUGAAGAUUGGGAUCAUGUGACCAAAAGCCAAGGAACUACCAGAAGGUAAGAGAGAAGACCAGGAACAAAUCCUUUCCUAGUGCCUUCAGAGGGAGUGUGACCUAGUUGACACCUUGAUUUUGGACUUCUAGCCUCUGAAAUUGUGAGACAAUAAAUGCCUGUUGUUUAAGCCACCCAGCUUGUGGCACUUUGUUACAUCAGCCCUACCAGACUAAUAAAGGGGAAUUGUCUUUAUGUACUGCCUAUGUGUGGCUGCAGGAACCAUG
rnacentral:lncRNA from 10 species